rnacentral:rRNA from 1 species
GACGAACGCUGGCGGCGUGCUUAACACAUGCAAGUCGAACGGAAAGGCCCUGCUUGCAGGGUACUCGAGUGGCGAACGGGUGAGUAACACGUGGGUGAUCUGCCCUGCACUUCGGGAUAAGCCUGGGAAACUGGGUCUAAUACCGGAUAGGAGCCAUUUUUAGUGUGAUGGUUGGAAAGUUUUUUCGGUGUAGGAUGAGCUCGCGGCCUAUCAGCUUGUUGGUGGGGUAAUGGCCUACCAAGGCGGCGACGGGUAGCCGGCCUGAGAGGGUGGACGGCCACCUUGGGCCUAAGCAACGCCCCAGCCUCCACGGGAGGCAGCAGUGGGGAAUAUUGCACAAUGGGCGCAAGCCUGAUGCAGCGACGCCGCGUGGGGGAUGACGGCCUUCGGGUUGUAAACUCCUUUCGCUAGGGACGAAGCUUUUUGUGACGGUACCUAGAUAAGAAGCACCGGCUAACUACGUG